rnacentral:lncRNA from 1 species
UAUCCGUGUAUUUGACCAGAUUAUUAAAAUAGGUGACAUCAAUCUAAUUGGAUUGGAUGAAGCAGAAAUCAUCUCUACUUUUAAAAAAAUGGACGAUUCUCCUUUCCAGAUUGAAUUUGGCCGCGAACCACCUGAAGUCAAGUCAGAACUUAUAGUACGCCUCAAGUUGUCAGAGGAAAGGAAGAAAUAUUUUAUGAAUUCACUCAUAGUACAGGAAAAAAUUGGAGAUAUCACUAUUGUGAGAGGACAAGCAAGUAUUUGUACAACUUCAAGAGAACCAUGGUACUGGAUGGCCAGUAACCUGAAAUUUGUUAUUGGGGCACUGAAAAUAUUAAUAGAAGAAGAUCAGGGAUGUAGAAAAGACUUCCAAGCUAUCUUUGAGCAGGCUAACUUUUUUCAAGACAAAUAUAGAGACAUGAACACAUACAAUGUGAAUAUGGAACAGAAACCUGAUGAAUCAGAUAAAGAAGGCACAUUUUUACCAUUGGCCCCAGAAGAAGAAUUAUUACUAGGACAAUUUAAAAUAAAGCCUAAAGAGAUAAAAAAUGAAGAUUUAUCACCAGGGCAAUUAUUAGCCCAAGGGGAUUUCAAUUCAGGUGUGAAAAAUGAGGCACAGAGAAGAUAUUCAGAUAGUUACCUUCCCAGCGGUGACUUCAUGGCUUCUGGCUCUAAAAGCAAUACCAAAGGUAGGUUCUUCACUUUAUAAGAUGUCAAAGCCUUGGUCAGCAAUAG